rnacentral:misc_RNA from 1 species
UCAGUAAGAAGUUUCGUCAAAAACCUAAUAAAAUGCAGUGAAUCAUUUUUUUUAAGGAGCAAAUCACUCAAAAUCUUAGCACAAACUGUACAGAGCAUAAACAAAUAACCAAAACAUCAAUCCACAUCACUAAAUGCUAGGGUCCAUAAUUUUAUCUUAAAUUGCCAAGCCAACCCAAAUAAUAAAAGAUUAUUUAUUAAAAAAAAUAAAUAAAAAGAAAAAAAAGGGGACAAAAUCACAAUAUGAUGCUUAACAUACAAUAUCAAGUAACAAAUAUGGAUUUUAUGAUGAUGCCAUCAGUGUCAUUACCCACCAAAAAACAAACAAAAGCACAUUUGGAAUUCAUAUGGCAACAUUCUCUUACAACACCGUAAGGAAAUUCCUAUAAGAAGAAAAAAGAAAUGGGGUAGUGCUGAAAAUAGAUUGGUGGUUCAAUGCAAAACAAGAAAUCUCAAAAAAAAAAGUUUUUGAAAUGAAAACUAUAAUUGCAAAAUAUAAGUGGUUUAAUACAGGAUAAGAAGUCCCAAAAAAAAAACAUGUUGAUAAUGAGAACUACAAAUUCUGUUUAAUAUAUUGGAUACCAACUAGUUUGGGAUUAUGGCUUAAUUGAUUUGAGUAUGCUAGAUACCAAGUGGAAUGAAGUGUGAAAGGGCAACUAUUUGGCAUUUUUAUAUAGGACUUGAGUGUUUCAAAGAAAACACGAAAAAUAUAGUACUUCAUCUACAUUCUAGAUAAAACAUCUUCAAUGUUAAGAAUGUCAAGCAUCCCAAAAGACAAAAAUGAAUGCAGUACAAUAGCAUAACAAUCAUGUUAACAUAAAAUUUCUUUUGUGAUUCUUUUUAUUUGAUCAUCAACACAUACAUUCCCUUUCAAUGAUUUGUAUUAGAAUUUUGAAUUGAAGGGUGGAGGUGAAUAAUUGGGCUUGAGGUUAGAAUUCAUGAAGCAUGAAAUUUAAGCUUACUUGGGUUUCGACCAACCAUUGCUAAAAUGUUAAAACUAACCUACUAGUUAGUGGGCCUUUUACCCUUACACAUUUACACAUAGUGUUUUAUUAGAUGUGAGAUUCUUAACACUCCCCCCUCAAGUGGCAACCGAGAUUGGACAUCCAGUUGGCACUUGAAACCCUUCCUUUGAAACCAAAUUCGGUCUCACUAGGACUAACCAUCCAGACGAGCCCAAAACUAAAAUGUAGCGGCAACACCGGGAAAUUAAAUUGCAACCGAGCCUGACUUACUUUGAUACCAUAUUAGAAUUUUAAAUUGAAGGGUGGAGGCAAAUAAUUGAGCUGAAGGCUAGAAUCCAUGAAGUAUGAAAUUUAUGCUUACUUGGGCUUGGACUAAUAAUUGCUAAAAGGUUAGAUAUAACCUAUUAGUUGGUCUUUCACCCUUAUAUACCCUUUACGCUUGGUGUUCUUUUUAGAUGUGGGAUUUUUAACAAUUUGAAACUAUAACCUGCAGUCAUGGUCAUAUUCAAAGAAAAUGAUCCACACCUAAAGCUCUAGGCAAUGGGGUUUCCGUGAGCAUGGUUAAAGCCUCUAUUUGUGAAACCCCAUGGUGGAGAAUAUCCAACUUUUUGAAUGGUCUAUAAGCAAAUAGGUGAGGGGGUGCAUGGGGGCAAGCCCCUCAUGGUACAGUACAAUAUUGUUAGCCCUGGAUGGUUCUAAUUAUGAGGUUUUAAUCUUGUAAUUAAGAGUUUCUCUUAUUACUAGUGUAAAGAGGAAAAAUCCUACUCUAUAUAAAAAGGCACCUCUAGUGAACAAUUGCAAGACGCUUUGUAGGGACAUAGGCAAAUUGCCAAAUUUCUUAAGUUCUUCAUGUAUUAUUUUCUCUCCUUUUGUGUUUGUUAUUCUAAUUUCUGCGUGUAUGUUAUGUGGAUUAUUUUUCAACAAUUUAGCAUCUUCAUUGGCAUUAAGAUUAAUGUAUGACCAUUAAUGUACAAACUUUCAAAAAGAAAUUCCCAAAUGUUAGCUUUAUAAAGAAAUAAAUAAAAUAAGAAUUUGAGCCAUCCCACCCUAACAAGGCAUUAAAGUCAAUGCAAAAUCUCAAAGGUUAAAAAAAAAGCCAGUCUCUGAAGUAAGAAAGUGAUAGUAUAGGACGAAAGCUCCUAUGAUUAACUGGCUUUUAACAAGAGCAAGCGUAACUAGGCAGGAUGACCCCCUAAAAUAGAACUUAAAAUGCAUAAAAUAGACCAUUGUUCAUUGAAUCGAUAAGUGUAUAUUGGCUAGGCCUAAUGCAUCUUGCAUUGCAGUCCAAUUUCCCUAACCAUAAGUUCGAAAAUUUUGGGAUCACAAACUGAAUUUUCAAAUAUAGACAGUUUGAUCUCUGGUUAUUGACUAUGAAAGCCUACCAAAAAUAAAACUUCAUCAAAGAGCAACAAAAAUAAUGGGCUACAUUAACUGAACCAGAAUUAAUUUUCAUUGACACCAGAUGCAAUUCCCAAUAUUUUAUGCAUAUAUAAUGCAAAUAUCUACUUCCAGUAUCAAUUUUCUGAAAUUGGCAAAAGAACAGAUGUGAGGAUUCUAUGCCUGUAGCAAAUACAGAAGGGCACAAGAAGAAAUGGGCAUUCACAUUGGCCUAUGCCCAAUAUUAUCCAGAGCUUCAAGCACUGUACAAUAUAAGACAUAGAUCAAGUUACGCUAUUUAGCCCAAUUUUUUAUAAACUUCACAUUCUUGGUAGACAGAUAUUGUCUGUGUGGAUGUGCUCAUCAUGAAUGCAGAAUUCCAGUUCCCUGAUUUAUACCAAUUUUGCAUCAAUUAAUUAUCUUAUAACCAUUGCCCUUUCUUUUUAUUAUUUUCCAGCUCACUAUUUUCACACCACAUUUAACAAGGGGAAAAAGACAUGAAAAAUAUAAGAAAAAGCUUAGAAGUUCAGCAAAAACAAUGGCCAGGAAAGUUAAGAAACAUGGAAAAUACACUAGUCUCGGGAUGCAUAAUUCAAUAAGAAAUGAAAGAUGAAUCCAUCCUUAUGACAGUGAAGUAACAAUUUAACCAUUAAAUCACAUAACUAUAAUCCAUAUUAGGAUGGAUGAGAAGUGUGUAAAUGGCAACUAACAUUGGCAAAGGCCAUUAACUUAGUAUGUUUAACAGUUUAAUAAAUAUUGCAGAAAGUUCAAGCUAACAUGGAUGUUAAGAUUUGAUAAAACUGUGUUGUAAUAUAAUAAAAUGCUGAGACAAGAACAAGUAAAAUAGACAAGUGGGGCUUGCACAGCCCCUUAGAUUUAAUCAAAUCAAUAAAGGAAAAAUUACCUUUUAAACCUAAAUAGGGAAAAAAAGAAAAAACUAGAAAGAAAUAAGGAAAUAUAGAAACAUAUAGUGCAACUAAUACUGACUUGGUAACAAAAAUUCACUUACAUUGAGAGAACAGGUAUUGCCA